CAAUAGCGUAUAUUAAAGUUGUUGCGGUUAAAAAGCUCGUAGUUGGAUUUCUGCAGGAGUGUCAAUGUCCACCCACGUGUGAGUUGCAGCGACGCUCCUGCAUCCUUCGGUUACCUCCGCUCGGCAUUCACUUGCCGGCGGUUGGCUCCGAAUAUUUACCUUGAGAAAAUUAGAGUGUUUCAGGCAGGCUAUUCGCCGGAAUACAUUAGCAUGGAAUAAUGGAAAAGGACUGCAACCUCUUCUGUUGGUCUGGGAGGCUGAAGUAAUGAUUAAUAGGGAUAGUUGGGGGCAUUAGUACUUUCCAGUCAGAGGUGAAAUUCUCCAAUUUGGUAAAGACUAACUUAUGCGAAAGCAUUUGCCAAGGAUGUUUUCAUUAAUCAAGAACGAAAGUUAGGGGAUCAAAGAUGAUCAGAUACCGU
rnacentral:rRNA from 1 species